rnacentral:rRNA from 1 species
GACGAACGCUUGCGGCGUGCUUAACACAUGCAAGUCGAGCGAUGAAGCUUCUUCGGAAGUGGAUUAGCGGCGGACGGGUGAGUAACACGUGGGUAACCUGCCUCAUAGAGGGGAAUAGCCUUCCGAAAGGAAGAUUAAUACCGCAUAAGAUUGUAAUAUCGCAUGAUAUAGCAAUUAAAGGAGCAAUCCGCUAUGAGAUGGACCCGCGUCGCAUUAGCUAGUUGGUGAGGUAACGGCUCACCAAGGCGACGAUGCGUAGCCGACCUGAGAGGGUGAUCGGCCACAUUGGGACUGAGACACGGCCCAGACUCCUACGGGAGGCAGCAGUGGGGAAUAUUGCACAAUGGGGGAAACCCUGAUGCAGCAACGCCGCGUGAGUGAUGACGGUCUUCGGACUGUAAAGCUCUGUCUUUAGGGACGAUAAUGACGGUACCUAAGGAGGAAGCCACGGCUAACUACGUGCCAGCAGCCGCCGUAA